rnacentral:misc_RNA from 1 species
UUGCUGUUGAAGCAAGGGAAGUUCUUCUCCAAAGAGCUUCCGAGGGAACGAUAAACUUCAUACUAAACAAGGCUCCAUGGAUGGUAGAAACAAAUCCAAAAGAGCUCGGUUUUGGGAUAUAUUCAUAAAUUCAAUAUAGAGAUUUGACUGAUCAAGCGUCGAGCGUGGAGCCAAAAUGCACCCUCACCUUCUCUAUAUAUUGGUGCAGUCUUCAAGAUUUG